AACGAACGCUGGCGGCAUGCCUAACACAUGCAAGUCGAACGAAGGCUUCGGCCUUAGUGGCGCACGGGUGCGUAACGCGUGGGAAUCUGCCCCUGGGUUCGGAAUAACAGCGGGAAACUGCUGCUAAUACCGGAUGAUGACGUAAGUCCAAAGAUUUAUCGCCCAAGGAUGAGCCCGCGUAGGAUUAGCUAGUUGGUGGGGUAAAGGCCCACCAAGGCGACGAUCCUUAGCUGGUCUGAGAGGAUGAUCAGCCACACUGGGACUGAGACACGGCCCAGACUCCUACGGGAGGCAGCAGUGGGGAAUAUUGGACAAUGGGCGAAAGCCUGAUCCAGCAAUGCCGCGUGAGUGAUGAAGGCAUUAGGGUUGUAAAGCUCUUUUACCCGGGAUGAUAAUGACAGUACCGGGAGAAUAAGCUCCGGCUAACUCCGUG
rnacentral:rRNA from 1 species